AAUAAAAUAAAGGUGAUUCUGCAUGAUAUGCAGGCACCACCAAAACGUGGAUAGACGCAGCAUUACAACCUCUUUCUGGGACAUCCCUGAAGGAAGGGAAGUCUUCCUCAUGUGCAGCACUUCUUAGUGCACCUGGUUGCCUACUUUGUUUGGAGGGUAAUCACCAGAUGUGCUACUGUUUCAUGGGCUGGAUGGUCAGGGACUUAGAAGGAACAUAAUUACAAAAUGGAUGACAAAGAGAUUUGGGGAACAGGUAUGUGGAUAUACUUCUCUGAAUGGACAAAGAAUAUGAAGAGAUAUGUGUCCCAUGUGAGUGCUCACCAAAGAGUGACUUCAGCAAAGACUUUAAUAAUAAAGUGGAUUAUCUUACUUGUUCUGUGAUGCUAGUCAGCCUCUUUCCCCAGCCACCCCUGUCAUUGCCGCAGAGGGCUCAUGAGCAAAGUGUCCAUGGUGACAUGAAUGAAGAUUCAGGGCUCAGCAACAGGGGGACUUCUCACAAAGGCUGACCUGGCUGUGGCCACCUGUGAGUGCCCAAUCUGAGACCAACACUGAGCCCCUAUCUCUCACCAUUCCCCAGGGCUAUCAGCCAGUGAUCUGAUUCCACCAUCGUGGUAUUCCACAAAGCAUUGCUUCUGACCAAGGAACUCACUUUUCAGUCAAAGAAGUGUGGCAGUCAGCCCAUGCUCAUGGAUUUUACUGGUCCUACCACAUUCCCCAUCACCCUGAAGCAGCUGGCUUGAUAGAACCGUGAAAUGAAUGGCUUUUGAAGAUGUAGCUGCAGCACUAGCUAGGUGAGAAUACCUUGUAGUGCUGAAGCAAGGCUCCCCAGAAGGCUGUGUAUGCUCUGAAUCAGCAUCCAAUAUAUGGUAGUACUAUUUGUCCCAUAUCUAUGACUCACCAGUCUAAGAAUCAGGGAUGGAAAUGGGAGUGACACUACUCACCAUUACUCCUAGUGACCCCCUAGCAAAACUUUUUCUUUCCAUCUGUUGUCCUAAGGGUCUUAAUUCCAGAGGCAUGACUGUUUCCACCAGGGCACACAACAAUGAUUCCAGUGAACCUGAAAUUAAGACUGCCAAGCAACCACUUUGGGCAAUUCAUGCGUCUGAGUCAACAGGCUAAGAAGGCUGGUGCAGUGUUGGCUGGGGUGAUCGAUCUGGACCACCAAAAGAAAAUUGGACUAUCACUCCACAACAGAGGACAUUACCUGUUGAUUCUUGGGCAAGGUCAAGAAUUUGGUGGACAUACUUAAAGAAGAAAGGAAUCUUCAGCUAAAAUGUCUAUGAUCCGUUCAGAUUUGGAGGGCAUGGAUCUUCUGACAGCAGGGGCCAUUCUAGGAUUUUUUGGUUGAAGAGAUGAACUUCGAUUUGGUUCCAGAUGGGUGGUCCAGCUACUCUUCUGGCAACAGUUUUCAGGGCAAGGCUUUUGCUACUGGAAUGAUUUAAGGAAGAUCCCUCAAUGUUUCAGAGUAAAGAUAUUUCUAAAGAAGUACCUGUGUCAUUGUCCAUCUUGAAGAUUGACUUUUAUGGUUGCUCAAAUACUGAUAUCAGCUCAAUGUCAAUAUAUACUCUUACAUAUGAAAUCCACCUAAGAUGCUAGUGCAAGUUAAAGUUAAGAACUUUAACUUAAAGGAGAUGACCCUAACAGCCUUCUUAGUGUACCAGGGAGACCAGAUGGAGUUUAAACUAUGUUGACCCUGCACUCAGACAUGCCAAGUGUAUCUGGGAGAUCAGUAGAUUGUGUUCAAUAAGAAUCUACUUAAAUAAUGGAGCUAUUAAUUUGAAUUACUUUGGUUGUAAAUUUUUUAAAAAGUCUAACUUAAAAUUUUUAAAGGGGGUUGGGAGAGAAUGUGAUGACUGUUACAGUUAAUGUGAGCUUUAGUUUGACUGGAUACAAGUACUAAAACAAUGUUAUUAGAUAAUAAAUCUAAUUAAAUCUAAUCUAAAUUUCCAUCUCACCUCUGCUUAACUCUCUGUUGGCUUUAUUCUUGGACUCCAAGUUAAUGGCAAAAUAAGCAUCCAUCAUAUUCUCCAUUCUACCAGCUUCAGGUCUAGUGGAAAGAAAUGAGAAAUAAGCUCAUUUUUAAAUUGAGUGAUUGAGCAAUAGAGCUGGGCUUGGAUUUCAUUGAUGUGGUUCUCAUAUCUAUUACUACACUCCCCUGAAACUGUUCUACCCAAAGUCACCAAAGAUUAGGGUGACCAUGCACCUCAGUUUGCCUGAGAUGGUCCCAGUGUGUAUGUGUUACCUGAGCACAACUAUGGAUAACACCCUGCUGUAGUCCUCCUUGAAGAUGGCUCUCAAUUAAUUAUCCUAGCCUCCAAUUGCUCACAUUCUUCUGGGACCCCUUCCAGACUGAGUAGGGCUGACAUGAGUAACCACUUCAGCCUUGCUCUCUCAGUUGCCUGACCUGGGGGAAGACGUUGCCAUGUUGUUAGAAUACUCAAGCUGUCUGUGGGAGGCCCAUGUGGGGAGGCACUGAAGCCCUUGCCAACAGCUAGCACUAACUUUCAACCAUGCGACUGAGUCGCCUUGGAAACAGAUCUCACAGCCCCAGUGAAGCCUUUAGAUGACUGCAGUCCCAGCCAAUAUAUGACUGCCAUCUCAUGAGAGGUGCUGAGCCAGAAUGGUUCUGCAAGGCCACUUCCAAAUUCUAUACCCACCUACACUGUAGGAGAUAAUAAAUGUUUGCUGUGUUAACACAGCGCUGAGCUUUGGGGGUAAUUUUUUAUACAGAAAUAGAUUAGUAAUACAUAUCCUCUUUUACUCUUAAAAGUGUCCCAGUUUAGAAAAUAAACUAAUUGUUCACCUAUC